CCUACGGGUGGCUGCAGUAGGGAAUCUUCCGCAAUGGACGAAAGUCUGACGGAGCAACGCCUCGUGAGCGAAGAAGGUCUUCGGAUCUUAAAUCUCUUUUGUUAUUUAAUAACAAUUACUGUAUUAAAUUACCUUACCUUUACGGUACCUAACGAGGAAGCCACGGCUAACUACGUGCCAGCAGCCGCGGUAAUACUUAGGUGGCAAGCGUUGUCCGGAAUUAUUGGGCGUAAAUGGCGCGCAGGAGGUCUUUUAAGUCUGAUGUGAAAUCUUGCGGCUACACCGCAAGCGGUCAUUGGAAAAUGGGAGAAUUGAGUGCAGAAGAGGAAAGAGGAAUUAAAAGUGUAGAGGUGAAAUGAGUAGAGAUGUGGAGGAAAACAAGUGGAGAAGGAGAAUUUAUGGUAUGUAACUGAAGCUGAGGAGCGAAAGAGUGGGGAGCAAACAGGAUUAGAUAACAAAGUAGUC
rnacentral:rRNA from 1 species